rnacentral:rRNA from 1 species
UACAGAGGGGGCAAGCGUUGUUCGGAAUUACUGGGCGUAAAGCGUGCGCAGGCGGUUAUGUAAGACAGAUGUGAAAUCCCCGGGCUUAACCUGGGAACUGCAUUUGUGACUGCAUAGCUAGAGUACGGUAGAGGGGGAUGGAAUUCCGCGUGUAGCAGUGAAAUGCGUAGAUAUGCGGAGGAACACCGAUGGCGAAGGCAAUCCCCUGGACCUGUACUGACGCUCAUGCACGAAAGCGUGGGGAGCAAACAGG